GAGGUAGCUUGGUGGCAGAGCACUUGCCUAGCAUGCAUGAAGCCCUGGGUUCAAUUCCCCAGUACCUCG
rnacentral:tRNA from 1 species